UACGUAGGGUGCGAGCGUUGUCCGGAAUUAUUGGGCGUAAAGGGCUCGUAGGCGGUUUGUCACGUCGGGAGUGAAAACUCGGGGCUUAACUCCGAGCCUGCUUCCGAUACGGGCUGACUAGAGGUAUGCAGGGGAGAACGGAAUUCCUGGUGUAGCGGUGAAAUGCGCAGAUAUCAGGAGGAACACCGGUGGCGAAGGCGGUUCUCUGGGCAUUACCUGACGCUGAGGCACGAAAGCCAGGGGAGCAAACGGG
rnacentral:rRNA from 1 species